CAACAGUGUACUGCUUCACAGCCAUUGACCUUACUGGUAGAUAUCCCUGGAAAGUUUCCAGCUCUCAGUUUACUUGAAAUGACUUUCAUGAAGCAGAGAAAAUUGAUUGGGAAGAAAAUUUGCCAGCGUUCAGCUUGAACAGGUAAUUGAGUUUCUGACUUAAAUCAUAUCUUAUUAACUUCCUUGAAAUAUUAAUCAAGAAAAGUU
rnacentral:lncRNA from 1 species